CGAUAUCGACGAGUUGAUCAUGGCUCAGAACGAACGCUGGCGGCAUGCCUAACACAUGCAAGUCGAACGAGACCUUCGGGUCUAGUGGCGCACGGGUGCGUAACGCGUGGGAAUCUGCCCUUUGCUUCGGAAUAACACAGAGAAAUUUGUGCUAAUACCGGAUAAUGUCGCAAGACCAAAGAUUUAUCGGCAAAGGAUGAGCCCGCGUAAGAUUAGGUAGUUGGUGGGGUAAUGGCCUACCAAGCCGACGAUCUUUAGCUGGUCUGAGAGGAUGAUCAGCCACACUGGGACUGAGACACGGCCCAGACUCCUACGGGAGGCAGCAGUGGGGAAUAUUGGACAAUGGGCGAAAGCCUGAUCCAGCAAUGCCGCGUGAGUGAUGAAGGCCUUAGGGUUGUAAAGCUCUUUUACCCGGGAUGAUAAUGACAGUACCGGGAGAAUAAGCUCCGGCUAACUCCGUG
rnacentral:rRNA from 1 species